rnacentral:rRNA from 1 species
UACGGAGGGAGCUAGCGUUGUUCGGAAUUACUGGGCGUAAAGCGCACGUAGGCGGCUUUGUAAGUUAGAGGUGAAAGCCCGGAGCUCAACUCCGGAACUGCCUUUAAGACUGCAUCGCUUGAAUCCAGGAGAGGUGAGUGGAAUUCCGAGUGUAGAGGUGAAAUUCGUAGAUAUUCGGAAGAACACCAGUGGCGAAGGCGGCUCACUGGAUUGGUAUUGACGCUGAGGUGCGAAAGCGUGGGGAGCAAACAGG